rfam:Schistosoma rodhaini strain Burundi genome assembly, scaffold: SROB_scaffold0014976
AUCCAGCUGACAGGUCCUAAAUAGGACGAAACGCGUGUCCUGGAU